UGCAUCUGCAGCUCAUGAGGAUGAGAACCUCCGGGGGCAGGGAGGUUCGACUCGAGCGAAGCGAGAGAACGUUGCGCCAGCAACGGCCCGCAGGGCGA
rnacentral:sRNA from 1 species